UUGGAACAUUGCAACUGAAUGGAUCGAUCGUGCGGUUUGGCUGGCGCUACACUCUUUUGAAUCCGUUCACAUUCUGUUAUUGUUUUACUUCGCCGUUUCUGGUUUCACGCGUACGUAAACGAACUACUUAAUCUGAUUAGGGAUUAUUAUGUGAACGCAAGUGCAUUUAUCUUUCAUCGGAAUUAUGGACGUCUAAAUUUAAACAUGAGGUGUAACUCUAGUACGAUUGACUGCUUAGUGUUUGUUCACAAGUUCUCGUGAUCUCCGAGGUUUGCGCAUAUCUUUAUACAUCCAUUGCGGUGAGGUUCUUUUGAUUGUUAUAAUAAUUGGAUGACAACAGGAAUGGCAGCAGCCGUAUCACGAACAGUAUUGUGCCAGCUUAUGUUACGUUGAGCUUAGAAAUAGUUUUAUACAUUAGUUGAGACUACAAUUAUGGAUACAUCAAAGCACGCGCUUAGUGUAAACUGCAAGAGUUCAAAUGAUUAUUUCCAAAAAAGUGCCACCGAUCCCUGAGUAUGCAGACUUGGUCCCGCCGCUAAAAACAUACAUUGACCUCUAUGAAUUUGAGUGAAUUAUACAGUAAGUUGAAAUUCGGUCGAGACAUGAGGUGAUGGACGUUGUUCUUAUCAAUGAACGUACGUUGAUUACUUUGAAUUAGGGUCUGAUACAGCAGUACCGCCAACCUAGUGGAAAUUUGCAAAUCAUUUGAAGAAUAGAUUUUGAUUGUAACGCCUAACUGUGGUGAUGAGUUAUUUGAGCUGAUGUGUGAUCUAACUAACUGAACUGAAGAAAACAUAGGAAAUUUUCAAUUGAGCAAGCUGCCUAAAUAACUUUUUGAAGAAGACAGUAUAUUCACCAUGAUUGGGAUCAAAUAUCUAAACGAAGCUCAUCUGAAAGGAUUCGAGAAAUAUAAGUACAACUGCGUAGAUACUAGCGUACUCAGUGUCUAUGUAAUGCACCCAUUUUGGAACUGGCUGGUUCAGUAUUGUCCCCGAUGGAUAGCGCCCAACUUGCUCACGUUCACCGGCUUCCUGCUGACUGUGGUAAACUUCUUCCUUAUAGGUUAUUACGAUUUCGGAUUCACAGCAGCCACACUGAUCCCAAAUCCGAUCCCAGAUUGGGUCUGGAUACUAGCAGCGAUAAAUCUUUUUGUGGCGUACACGCUAGAUGGUAUUGAUGGAAAGCAAGCACGUCGAACAGGAACCAGUGGUCCGCUGGGUGAACUCUUCGACCACGGUUUGGAUUCGUACUCAACACUACUGAUACCGGUUUACGUGUUUAGUUUGUUCGGACUAAUCGAUUUACCGCCAAUUAGGAUGCAUUUUGUAAUGCUCAACGCGUAUCUUAAUUUUUAUCUUUCGCAUGCAGAAAAAUAUGUUACAGGUGUAAUGUUUUUACCAUGGGGGUAUGAUUUUGUUAUGUGGGGAGUUUCCCUAACGCUGGCUAUCACGGGUAUAUGUGGAGCUGGAAUUUGGCAAAACACUGUUUUCGGAAUUAAACCAUGCCUAAUUUUCGAAAUCACGCUGUACGUGUCUGGUUUGGUCACUAGUCAUCCAAUAAUUCUGUAUAAUGUCUACAAAUCUUACCGAAAUAAAACUGGAAAAAUGCGACCAUUUAUGGAAGCAAUACGGCCAUUGAUUCCACUUCUGGGUCUUUUUGUAAUCAGCACAGUCUGGGCGCUACUCUCCCAAAACAGUAUUGUUAACUUGGAGCCACGUAUGUUUAUCGUCCUGAGCGGAACGACAUUCUCUAAUAUUAAUUGUCGACUGAUUGUUGCCCAAAUGACUGACACACGGGCCGACCUGUGGAAUGCCAUGCUCAAUUUAAUGGCAGUUGCUACACUCGUGUCUAUCUUUCCGUAUAAGGUUCUCGGAAUGCCCAGUCUGUGGGUUGUGUACGAACAGAAUAUUCUGUAUGCCUUGGCAUUCGUGGUAACGAUAGGCCAUCUACACUACGGUCAGGGAGUCGUCAGAGAAAUGUGCAGUCACUUCCGGAUCAACUGCUUCAAAAUAUCAGCAUACGGGAAAUCACCAGCAUUACUUGCAUACUAAAAUGUUUGACUGCAUCACACAAUGCAACAACGUGUAUAUUCGAAUCAUACUACUAAAGCUGCCGGUGGAAAUUAUUGUGUAGAGAGGGUGCAUGCAACAGCUAGUAUGGUUAAAACCAUGCUGAAUCGCAACGACGAUUUCUGUACGAUUUAAUAAAAUUCUUUAAAAAAUUAGUCUUAACUAUAACGAAACCAGUACCCAUAACAAAUGGCAACAGCAACGACGGUAUGGUGGAGAUUGAUCUAUAAAUGGAUGUGGCCACCCGAAUGUGCAUAAUGACUGCGUAGUUCAACGAUUACUUAAAUUGUACAUAAAGUAGCAUAAAUUAUGUAAGUAUAUGCAAUAAACGAACAGA